GGGGUAAAAUUAAUAAAUUAAUUUUAAUAAAAAAAUUUUUAAUAAAAUAUUUUAAAGGGGGGGUUAAAGUAUAUUUAUAGAAAAAAUAAAUUAAUUUAUAGUUAAAUAGUAUUGUAAAAGAAUUUUGAAAUAAUUGAAAUUAAAUUUUUUUAAAAGUAAUUUUUAUUUAAUGUAUCUUGGGUAUCAGAGUUUAUUAAAAAAAAUUAUUAAAUAAAAAAUUCUCGAAUUUAAAAGAGAUAAUUAAUUAAUAAAGUUAUUGUAGCAUAAAUAUUUUAAAUAAUUAAUUGGAAAUGAAAUGUUAAUCGUUUUUAAAUAUAUCUAGUUUUUUUAGAAAAAAAUUUAAUUUUAUAUUAUUUAAAAAAAAAAUUAAUUAAUUAAUUUUUUUUUUAAAUAAUAAUAUAUUUUAAGGGAUAAGCUUUAAUUUAAAUUUAUAUAAAUAAAUUGAAAAAUUAAAUUGAAAAUUUUAUAAUUUAUAUUGUUAAAAAAAUUUAAUUUAUUAUAAAUAAUUUCAUUUAAAAUAAAAUUUAAUAAAAUUUUAUAUGGUUUAUAAAAAAAAAAUUUUUAAUAAAAUAAAAUUUGAUAUAAUGAUAAAAUUAGUAUAUAAUAAAAUAUAUAAAUGAAUAAUUUAGUAUAAAUAAUUAAUUAAAAGGAAUUCGGCAAAAAUUUAUAUUCACUUGUUUAUCAAAAACAUGUCUUUUUGAAAAUAAUAUAAAGUCUAAUCUGCCCACUGAUAUAAUAUUAAAGGGCUGCAGUAUAUUGACUGUACAAAGGUAGCAUAAUCAUUAGUCAUUUAAUUGAUGACUUGUAUGAAAGAUUGGAUGAAAUAUAAACUGUCUCUUAAUUAAAUAUAGAAUUUAAUUUUUAAAUUAAAAAGUUUAAAUAAUUUAAAAAGACGAGAAGACCCUAUAGAGUUUUAUAAAUUUAAUGAUUAAGAUUAUUUAUUAAAAAAAAAAUUAAAAUUAAUAAAUUUAUUUUGUUGGGGUGACAAAAAAAUAUAAAAAACUUUUUUUAAAAUAAAACAUAUAUAAAUGAUUAAAUGAUCCAUUAUUAUUGAUUAUAAGAAAAAAUUACCUUAGGGAUAACAGCGUAAUUUUUUUUUUUAGUUCUUAUAAAAAGAAAAGUUUGCGACCUCGAUGUUGGAUUAAGAUAAAAUUUAAAUGCAGUAGUUUAAAAUUUUUGAUCUGUUCGAUCAUUAAAAUCUUACAUGAUCUGAGUUCAAACCGGUGUAAGCCAGGUUGGUUUCUAUCUUUUAAAAAAUAAAAUAUUUUAGUACGAAAGGAUUAAAUAUUUAAAUUAAAUUUUUUAUUUUGAAUUUUAUUAAAGAUAAUUUAUAAAUUUAUAAUAAAUAAAUUAUAAUAUAUAUAUAUAUAUAUAUAUAUUU
rnacentral:rRNA from 1 species